rnacentral:lncRNA from 1 species
UAAACUUGGCCCAUGCCAGAAUCAUUCUCGCGGGUACCUUCGUUAAGGUAUCCCAUUGAGACCGCCAAGGCUGUUCAAUGACCCAUACCCAUAAACAUGUUUUCACAUCUAACACACAGCCGUUCCUUGGCGUUAGCUGAGUCUCACUCUCACGUGGUGGCCUGAACGUGAGGUGCACUCAAAUCAUACCUCAGGAGAUACUUCACCCAACAUCUCCCCUCGGAGGUAAGUAUAUAAUUGAGUUACCAUGCCCCUCUCAUAGGUAGUCUACGAAAACCCCUACCACUGCAAUGACCGUUUAAUAUACCACCAGACCUAUAAAAAUUUCAGUAGCAUAAUAUGGCGAAUAAAAUGUAAUCCAGUCUACCGAGACCAAUCCAAAACUAUUCAUAUAUUUCAUGCCAACCCCAAAAAUUUAGCCAUCAUGCUACCAUAGUGUCAUAAGCCACAAUUU